rnacentral:misc_RNA from 1 species
GAUGAAGAACGCAGCGAAAUGCGAUAAGUAGUGUGAAUUGCAGAAUUCAGUGAAUCAUCGAAUCUUUGAACGCACAUUGCGCCGUUUGGUAUUCCUUAGGGCAUGCCUGUUCGAGCGUCAUUUAAACCUUCAAGCUAAGCUUGGUGUUGGGUGACUGUCCGCCUCACGGCGGACUCGCCUCAAAAUUAUUGGCGGCCGGUACAUUGGCUUCGAGCGCAGCAGAAACGCGAACUCGGGCCCGUCGUAUUGGCUCCCAGAAGCUAUCUUCACAAUUUUGACCUCGGAUCAGGUAGGGAUACCCGCUGAACUUAAGCAUAUCAAUAAGCGGAGGA